CUUAAUAUCUGAUAUGACCUCCAUCGGAGGUCAAGAUAUUAAUCUUAUUUUUUUCCCAGGGCGGAGAGACUGAAGCUUGCUUCACCUCCGCCAAGGGUUGGC
rnacentral:snRNA from 1 species